rnacentral:rRNA from 1 species
UACGUAGGGCGCGAGCGUUGUCCGGAUUUAUUGGGCGUAAAGAGCUCGUAGGCGGCUUGUUGCGUCGGCUGUGAAAACCCGCGGCUUAACCGUGGGCUUGCAGCCGAUACGGGCAGGCUAGAGUUCGGUAGGGGAGACUGGAAUUCCUGGUGUAGCGGUGAAAUGCGCAGAUAUCAGGAGGAACACCGGCGGUGUAGACGGCUUGCUAGACCACCCCUGACGCUGAGGCACGAAAGCGUGGGUAGCAAACAGG